AAAGCUCGCUUGAUCUUGAUUUUCAGUAUGAAUACAGACCGUGAAAACGGGGCCUCACGAUCCUUCUGACUUUUUGGGUUUUAAGCAAGAGGCGUCAGAACAGAGA